rnacentral:rRNA from 1 species
AUACGGAGGAUCCGAGCGUUAUCCGGAUUUAUUGGGUUUAAAGGGUGCGCAGGCGGCCAUUUAAGUCAGCGGUUAAAUCGUGGGGCUCAACCCCAUUCUGCCGUUGAUACUGGGUGGCUUGAUUGCGGUCGAGGUUGGUGGAAUUCGUUGUGUAGCGGUGAAAUGCAUAGAUAUGACGAAGAACACCGAUUGCGUAGGCAGCUGACCAGACCGCAAAUGACGCUCAUGCACGAAAGUGCGGGGAUCGAACAGGAUUAGAUACCCUGGUAGUCCGCACAGUAAACGAUGAAUACUUGUUUUCGGCGAUAUAAUGUCGGAGGCAAAGCGAAAGCGAUAAGUAUUCCACCUGGGGAGUAUGCCCGCAAGGGUGAAACUUAAAUGAAUUGACGGGG